UACGGAGGGGGCUAGCGUUGCUCGGAAUUACUGGGCGUAAAGCGCACGUAGGCGGCUUUCUAAGUCGGGGGUGAAAUCCUGGAGCUCAACUCCAGAACUGCCUUCGAUACUGGAAAGCUCGAGUCCGGGAGAGGUGAGUGGAACUGCGAGUGUAGAGGUGAAAUUCGUAGAUAUUCGCAAGAACACCAGUGGCGAAGGCGGCUCACUGGCCCGGUACUGACGCUGAGGUGCGAAAGCGUGGGGAGCAAACAGG
rnacentral:rRNA from 1 species